rnacentral:misc_RNA from 1 species
CUUGGAACUGGAUAUGACAUACCUGUACACGGACAUGGGGACGGAGUUUUAAGAUUUACACCUGACUACACGCGUCCCUAGGCACCUUGAUAAACCUCCUUCCUGCAUCUAUUGACAGCUGCGGGGAAGUUUUGACACGAUUACGUCACGAGUUUAUGCAGUUGGGUCAUACAUUACUUGGAUCUAUUUAUAGCAUCUAUCGAUUUUGUCUGGGAUUUUAGAGGAAGACGCAGUACAAGAUAAUUCCCUCAGAGGUUCGUGAGAACCCGGCUCGGCUGUGGGUGAUGCUUUGUGCUCUUUCCUUUGGCGGCGUCUAUUGACCACG